rnacentral:rRNA from 1 species
CACGUAGGGGCCAAGCGUUUGUCCGGAUUUAUUGGGCGUAAAGAGCUCGUAGGCGGUUGGGUAAGUCGGGUGUGAAAACUCCAGGCUCAACUUGGAGACACCACCCGAUACUGCUCUGACUUGAGUUCGGUAGGGGAGUGGGGAAUUCCUGGUGUAGCGGUGAAAUGCGCAGAUAUCAGGAGGAACACCGGUGGCGAAGGCGCCACUCUGGGCCGAAACUGACGCUGAGGAGCGAAAGCGUGGGUAGCAAACAGG